UGUGUGUGUGUUAUACAAGCUCGGAACACAGCCUGUUCUCAUUAGAACUCACUGGAGGGACUUUUAGACUGGCUGCGAUUCAGGAGCAAGGCUGGAUUUGGGGGAAAUACAGUCUGCA